UACGGAGGGGGCUAGCGUUGUUCGGAAUUACUGGGCGUAAAGCGUGCGCAGGCGGUUUUGUAAGCCGGAUGUGAAAUCCCCGGGCUUAACCUGGGAAUGGCAUUCGGGACUGCAAGGCUGGAGUGCGGCAGAGGAGACUGGAAUUCCUGGUGUAGCAGUGAAAUGCGCAGAUAUCAGGAGGAACACCGGUGGCGAAGGCGGGUCUCUGGGACGGUACUGACGCUGAGACGCGAAAGCGUGGGGAGCGAACAGG
rnacentral:rRNA from 1 species